rnacentral:rRNA from 1 species
UACGGAGGGAGCUAGCGUUGUUCGGAAUUACUGGGCGUAAAGCGCGCGUAGGCGGACCUGCAAGUCGGGGGUGAAAGCCCGAGGCUCAACCUCGGAACUGCCCUCGAUACUGCGGGUCUCGAGUCCGGGAGAGGUGAGUGGAAUUCCUAGUGUAGAGGUGAAAUUCGUAGAUAUUAGGAAGAACACCAGUGGCGAAGGCGGCUCACUGGCCCGGUACUGACGCUGAGGCGCGAAAGCGUGGGGAGCAAACAGG